rnacentral:rRNA from 1 species
UACGUAGGGGGCUAGCGUUGUCCGGAAUCAUUGGGCGUAAAGAGCGCGUAGGCGGCCAGAUAAGUCCGGUGUGAAAGUCAAAGGCUCAACCUUUGAAUGCCGCUGGAAACUGUCUGGCUAGAGUCCGGAAGAGGAGAGUGGAAUUCCUGGUGUAGCGGUGAAAUGCGCAGAUAUCAGGAAGAACACCCGUGGCUAAGGCGGCUCUCUAGUACGGUACUGACGCUGAGACGCGAAAGCGUGGGGAGCGAACAGG